rnacentral:rRNA from 1 species
GACGAACGCUGGCGGCGUGCCUAAUACAUGCAAGUCGAGCGAAGAGUUGCUGGUUCUUGCCCCCGGAAGACUUAGCGGGGCGCGUGUGUGUAACAUGUAAAGAAUCCCUCUCAGACAGGGGUACAACUAGUGGAAAGGAUAUAAUACACCGGAAUAUAUCAAAAACCGCAGGGCAGUAGUUUAAAAGGGUGUUUUUGUAACUCAAAGAUGUGGCCUUGCGGUGCAUUAGCUUGUUGGAGGGGUAAAGGCCUACCAAGGCGACGAUGCAUAGCCGACCUGAGAGGGUGAUCGGCCACACUGGAACUGAGACACGGCCCAGACUCCUACGGGAGGCAGCAGUAGGGAAUCUUCCGCAAUGGGCGAAAGCCUGACGGAGCAACGCCGCGUGAGUGAUGAAGGAUUUCGGUUCGUAAAGCUCUGUUGUUAGGGAAGAAUGAAUGUGUAGUAACUAUACACAGUAGAGACGGUACCUAACCAGAAAGCCACGGCUAACUACGUG